UAGUCCUUAAAAAUAUUUUGUUCUUAUUCAUCAACAUUCUACAUCUUACUGUCUUCUCUCGUAAAGAAUUGUUUCCCUUAAAUUUUAAUAACAUAAGAAUUUUGCAACAAAAAACAAAAUGGUAGAUUCUUACCUAAAGACAUGGAGUUGGUUUACUUUUUUUGAAUUUCAUAAAAUACAGGCAUAGCCCUCAGUCUCUAAGGACAUGGCGUGUUAAUGAUCUGCUGAGCGUGGGUCUCUCGUGGCAGAGAAUGCUGCUCUGAGGAGCACUGCUUCUCAGAGUGGUUAAUGCCCCGCUGCAUUCUGCUCACUGCCUGUAACCUCCAGGCAACCCAGCAUCCCCAGGAGUGGAAUGAGGUUGUGUCUGGCACCCCAUGGUUGGAGGUAUUUCAUGUUGCAGGGUUAGGGCUUUGAUGAUACUGCGCAGAGGCGGGCCGUUUGGACUGCUGGAACUAACUUUGCAGUCUUGCCCUGUCUAGUCUUUCCUGUAACUGUUACAGCCUCGCAGUGUGUCGUGGUGCCUCAGUCAACAGCAGACCCGAAGUCUACGGUGAUCCCUUAUGUGUGUUCAGACUCUAUCAGGCAGUCUUACCGUCUCAUGGGAUUUGCUUCUUGUUGCUCUCUGAGUCUCUGUGAGGAUACUCUGAUGUUCCCCUAAUAAAACUGCCUCUCAGUGCAUUUCUCAGAGCACACCCCUUAGGAAGUGAGGUUUGAUGUGCCUGUUUUGCUGCCUGGUUUCCAUGUGCUGAUUGCCGAUCACUCUCAGACUCCAAAGACUACUGUGCUCCCGCAGCUUAUUGGCAGAGGUUCCAACUGGCUGAGUAAAUCUUUUUCUUCCUUCGGUCCCCUUAAUCCAGACUUAACCUUCGCGUUUAUAUUUUUGUGAUCUCAUGUCUUACUUAUCACCAUCUCCUCCUGGUUUCCUUCACCCUGGUUAUUCUUUUCAUGUCUCAGAUUCUGAUGUUCUUUUCUGAGCACCUUUUCCUUGUGCUCAUUUUCUCCUCUCAUUCAAGAGAUUGAUUUCUACAGGACUCUCUGAGAAAAGGUGCAUCCAUCAAAUGUGCUGGGUUGUUCCUAUGACUAUACAUACCUCUUUUCUUCCUUCCCUUCUUCUGCUGUGUGUCUGGGGACUUCUGUGGAGCUGCACCAGCCUGCAUUCCUUCAUGAAGGACAGUCACUGCCUGGCAGAACGACAGGGCAGGGGAGUGAGAAGCCUGAAGGGUCACUGAAGGUUCUGGUGGAUGCCAAUGACCACUCACUGGUGCUGCCUUGAACUCUUUGCUUGGACGUCAGCAUAGCCCUGAUGCGAGACAGACACGGCCGAUGAUCAGGCCCAGGCCUGACUGUGUGGGUUGCUGCAUUGGAAAGCAUUUAAAUAUAUAACCCCAGUGGUCUCUAAUGCUAAGUGGGAUGUUCACCCUCUGCCAAGAUGGAAAGUGAUUAUUCAAUGUCCUGAUCUGUUUUUUGUCAACUUGACACAAGCUGAAGAUGCAGGAAGAGGAAACCUCAGCAGAGGAAAUGCUUCCAUCAGAUUGGCCUGUGGGCAUUUUCUUGAUUGCUCAUUGAUGUGGGAGGGCCCAGCUCACUGUGGGUGGAGCCAUCCCUUGGCUGGUGCUCCUGAGUUCUGUAAGAAAGCAGGUUGAGCAAAGCCACACCUUCAUGGCCUCUACUUCAGUUCCUACCUCCAGGUUCCUGCCCUGACUUCCCUUGUGAUGGAAUAUGACCUGAGAGUUAUAAGAUGAAAUUAACUCUUUCCUCCCCAAGCUGCCUUUGGUUGUGAUAUAAUGAUAUCAGUGUAGUUUGCUUUCAUCCUAUUGGGAGGACAUGGUCCUCUGUGUCUUCCCUUGACAAGCUGAUGGGUCUGUGUCUCUUGUCAGCUCCAAACAACAGGAAGAAAGUCAUCUCCACCCCUCUCCUGCGAUCUGCUACUAGGGAGCAAACUAUUCCAAGUCUCAUCUGGUUGGGACACCACUGAGUGCCCAGUAAGAUCUGGUGAAGUGAGGAUGAGGUUCCUUCAUAUCAAGGCCAUUCCUUCUAUCUUCAGACUGUGAGCGGAAGAUACAAGCCACCUCCUGGCCACCUCCAUCUUUCCCCACAUUAUGAAAAGAUGUAGGGAAAGGAUACAGUAGACAGUUCCUUUCAUAGUGGGCUGGUGAGGGUAGAAGGUACUUGAUGGCGACCAGGCUGUGGAAAUUCUGAUGUCUUCCUCUAUGGCUCUGCCUCACCUGGUUUUCCCUAUGCUGAUAUCAACACAGAUUAGCUUUGCCUGGCCUGAAACUUUUUGCAAGUGGGAUCACACAGCACUAGUUUUACUUUGCUUUUUUUUGUUUUUCAACUUUGUCUCUGAGAUUCAUCCAAGCUGUGGUGUUAUAACAGGGGUUGGGGGCAUUAUUUCAGGUACUCCAUUUUGUGGAGCCAAUACAUAAUAAUCUAUUCUCCUGUAGUCCACCAUGAACUUGCUGCUGAUUCUUCUUCUUCUUCUUCUUCUUCUUCUUCUUCUUCUUCUUCUUCUUCUUCUUCUUCUUCUUCUUCGGACUAAGUCUCUUUACUAGACUAAGUCAACAUGAAGUCAGCCAUGCUAAAGUUCAUCACUAAACUGAGGGCCUACUGUUACUUCACCUUCAGAGAGCCUGGGGUCAGAGAAUAGCCAAAUUCUCUAAACAGGCUAUUUUCUGUUAGCAUAAUAGUGACAUUUCCUUCUAUGUUCAUUCUUAAAUUAAGUACUGUAAAAUAGCCAAGAUUGCCUCAUCAGUUGUUUUCUUGUUUUCUGUCUCCUAUGCCCUCCUGGUGUGGAAAAUAGCUUUGAGAUGAGCAGUUCACUUUUGGCUUUUGUUUUUGUCUUUAGUCUUUUUCUGUUCUUGAAGCCAGAUGCCUUUGCUUGAGCUGUGAGGGCCCUCGCCUUUCUUUAGGGAAUGAAGUAUGGAUCAGUUCUGGAGUAGAGAGUAAAACCAUUUGAGAUGACUAAAUUAUUGUAAUUUUGUCCUUUGAUGUUCUCUAAAAAUAGAAUUGCUAGGUGGUGGGUAUUUUUAUUUACUGUAAAUUGAUUUUGGGUCACAGUCUUACUACAUCCACAUUAGCCUCAGAUUUGGAAUCCUCCUACCUCAGUUUAACAUUUCUGAAUAUUAAAGAUACAUACCACCAUACCCAGCUGAAACUUAUUUUUUUCCAUAUUUUUCUCUUUUGUGUGCCUUGGGUGGGUCAUAAAAUUGAUGGAGUACUUAAUUUUAUUUUAAGACAAGGUCCAUUUAUGUUGACCUUGAAUUUGUAAUAGAAAGAUCUCCCAUGUUCACGUAUUGGUAGAGUUGAUAUUGUAAAAAUGACCAUCCUACCAAAAGUAAUUUAUGCAUUCAGUUCAAUCCCAAUUAAAAUCUUCAAAGAAAUAGAAAAACAAUUUUUAAUUCUUUAUUAAUUACACUUUAUUCACUUUGUAUCCCCCCCUGUAGUUCCCUUUCUCCUCCCCUCCCAAAUCCCUCCCUUCCUCCCCCUUCUGCAUGCAUGCGCCUCCCCAAGUCCACUGAUAGGGGAGGACUUCUUUCCUUCCUUCUGAUCCUAGUCUGUUAGGUCUCAUCAGGACAUUGUCUUCCUCUGUGGCCUGGUAAGGCUGCUCCCCCCUCAGGGGGAGGUGAUUAAAGAGCAGCUCAAUCAGUUCAUGUCAGAGACAGUCCCUGUUCCUAUUACAAUGGAACCCACUUGGACACUGAACUGCCAUGGGCUACAUCUGUACAGGGACGGGUCCUAGGUUAUCUCCAUGCAUGGCCCUUGGUUGGAGUAUGAGUCUCAGGAAAAACCCCUGUGCUCAGAUUUUUUGGUUUUGUUGCUCUCCUUGUGGAGUUCCCGUCCUCUCCAGAUCCUGCUAUUUCUCACUUCUUUCAUAAAAUUCCCUGAACUCUGAAAAAUAAUUUUAGAAUUCACAUGGAAGCAAAAAGACAGCAGCUUAUCCAGAGUAAUCCUGAGCCAGAAGAAUAAUGAUGCGAAAGCAUGCCUGACUUCAAUGUAUACUACAAAGCCACAGUAACAAUAAUAACAAAAACAUGAUGGCUAGGCAUAAUGGCACAGGCUACUUGGAAGGCAGAUGCAGGCAUCCUUGUGAAUUUGAAGUCAGCCUGGUCUACAUAGUGGGACUUUGCCCCAAAGAAACAAACAAAAACCAUAGCAUGGUACUGGCACACACACAAAAAUAGAAACAUAAACCCAAUAGACUAAAACAAUCCCCAUCGCCCAGAUUUAAGUUCAUGCAAAGAUGCCACAAAUAUACAGUGGAGAAAAGAUAAGAUCUUCAACAAAGACAGGUAAAACUGAAUGUCUGCGUGUAGAAAAAUAAAAGUCGACCCCUGUCUCUCACCCUGCACAAAGCUCAACUCCAAAUGGACCACAUAUCUCAACAUAAAACCUGAAACGGAAACGUCUAGAAGAGAGGCUAGGGUAUGUGCUUCAGGAUACAUGGAAGCAAAAGCAAAGAGUUCCCAAAUAGUACCCCAGUCACUCAGAAAAUAGAGCCAGCAGCUGACAAAUGGGGCCUCAUGAAACUGAAAAGCUUCUGUAUGGUGAUGAAAAUAGUCAAGUAAAGAGGCAUCUGACAGAGAGAGAAGAUCUCUGCAGGCUACAGUCUUAGUUAGGGUUCCCAUUGCUGUGAAGAGACACCGUGCCCACAGCAACUCUUAUAAACGAAAAUAUUUAGUUGGGGCUGACUUACAGUUUCAGAGGUUCAGUCUUUUAUCAUCACGGCAGGAAGCAUGGCAGAACACAGGCAGACAUGGUGCCGGAGAAGGAGCUGACAGUUCUACAUCUUGAUUCGCAGGCAUCAAAGAGGAGACUGUGUGCCACACUGGGCGUAGCUUGAGUGCAGGUGUCAUCCAUUGUUGGUUGGCUCUGCUCUUUGAGGGCUGUGCAGGGAUGGUAGAAGGGCUUGAAGGAGCAAAGUUACUCAGCUCCUGACAGCCAGGAACAGAAGAACGAGAGAUGCAGGGAACCAGAUCCAGAAGACGCAGAUGCCGAAGAGACAUCCCAGGGAGCUUCUUCCUCCAAAUGGGCUCCACCUCUGAAAGUUUCCAGACCUCCCCACAGUGCCAUCAAAUUAGGAAGCCAACAGGAUUAAUCCACUGCUGAGGCCAGAGCUCUCAUGGCCCAGUCAUCUCUCAGUGCCUGAGUCCUCCAGCUGUGGACCAAACCAAACACAAGAGCCUUAUAGGGGAUGCUUCAAUCCAGAGCGUAAUCCUGUGCUGUGCUGUAAAAUAGACCGGUGAGAAGUUUCCUGUGAAUAUGCAACCUCUAUGUUCAAAAGCCGCAGAAAACUGCCACUCUUAAACCUGUCACCUGAACCCGAGGAAGCAGGAACCAAUAGAAGACAUUAAGUUUCAAAAUAGUUGCUCAUGUUAUUACCCUGCUUGGAGUUGUUCUUAACUUGGCAGAUUUUAACAUCCACCAUGUUU